rnacentral:lncRNA from 1 species
ACGCCGGAGAGGAAAACGGGACCUGACGCUCCGCCUGGCGCGAUUCCUCCUUCUCCUCCUCCUCAGCCGAAGGCGCCGGUCGCUCCUGCCUUGGAGAGCGAGCUUCGGAAAGGAGGAUGAACGAGGGUGAACAGGGCGGCCGGGGACCCAAAGGGGGGACCCCUUCAGUCCUUCGCCAUUCACUUUCCCCUGUAGCCUCACACCCCCCUUUAUAUUCCGUUUCACUUGGGGUGCGGGGCAGGAGGGAGGGGGAGAGCGCAGGAGGGGGAGGAAAAGCGAGAAAUGCCCACCUUCUCCGGCCAACUCCGAAGCCGCCUCAGCCCCCUCCUCCCGCCGCGGCGGCCGCUGCAAAGCCCUCCCGGCCGCUCUGCACGGAGGCAGCGCCGAGCAAGUGUCGCCUUCCCCUCGCCACCCCCGGGGCCGCCGCCGCAGGCGAGCCCCGAGCUCAGUGUCGCUCAAACCUCCCCUCCCGGCCCCGCUCGGCCCUCCCCCCGCGCCCCGCAGACCCUUUCAAACCCCCUGGGCUCGCGGCGGCUGCUCGGUGAGGAAACGCUGGCCGCGGCUGGGGCCGGGGCGACGCGGCUGCGAGCGGGGCGGCGGCGGGGCGCCCGGUACGGUGAGCCCAGCAACGAGGCGCGGGCGGGCGCGCAGAGACGCCGGGUCCUCGCGGAGCACGGCCGGGGCGCGGCGGCGGCGGUGGCAGCGGGAGCCCAGGGACCGCUCCAUCACUGGCAGCCAUGGAGCCCGAGCAUUUUCCUCCCUCAGGGCAGGCGCCUCGGCUCGGCACACGUCCUCGGGGAGGAAGGGGCCGGCGCCCGAGCCUCCCCGGAGGGCGGCGGGACGUGCGCUAGGGCGGAGGGUGCGACCCUCUCUUGUCCUCUUCCUCCGCAGCCGGCUCUUCCUCACCCCGCUGCUCCCGCGACCGAGCGGGAGGGGGCCGCAGGCGGCGGCGGCUCCUUUCUCGGCGGCGUUGGUGGCCAGACGGGCUGGUGCAGCGACUGCAGCCGACGCCGUUCAAAGGAACGAGAGCAACAGCAUCACGAGUUUCAGUUCCCAGGAGCCCGCCGCCGCCGCCGCCGCUGCCACGACAUGAGUCAGGCUUUCUUCCCCGGCGCGUGGCGGAAACCUCCUCCCCCUCGCCGCACCUGGGCUCGCCCCCGGCCCUCGCCUCCUCGGGGGAUGCCCCAGCGCCGGGAGCUGCGGGGUCUACGGAAGGCCGGUGGCUCCCAGUGAUAGGUGUUGUCUUUUGUGCAGUGCGGUUGCUGCCAUGCGGUCUCCUCGCCCUUCCACGGGCAGGGGCGAGGCAGCCGGACAGAUGUUGCAGCUGUUUUCAGUUAACUGCUUUAGCUCCUCUGGGGUAGGCUCUUCUCUAACGAGGAGUGGUUGCAAUGCAUCCUUAACUGGAGGACGGAGGCAGGCCGGCCCUGUAAACGACUGAUCUCAACAGGUGUCUCCAAGCAGCGACGCCUUUUUCGUUCAUUGUCCUGGCUAUAUCCCCAUUGGUUUGACUCAAGAGGCAAGGUGGCCCGGACAUGUGAGCAACACAAAUGAUAAGCAUGCCUUUUAGGGCUAGAAAAGAAAAAGCCAUCCGAAAUUCCAGUUUUAAAACACACACCCACACAUAUUACAUUUCAUGGGUCCGACUAUAGUUCUACAGAAGCAAUGUUAGGUUUGAUUGGGGGCAAUUUACUGGCAGUUACUUUAUUGGCAUUUCAUGUCAAAACCUAGUUCUAAGCAUUUCUUACCAAUAAUCGAGAAUGUCCGUCUCUCCCAGGAAUUUAAAAAUGAUAAAGCAAGCCAAAAAGCUGUAGGGAGGAAUUUUCAUUUUGUUAAAUUUAGGUUAGGGGAAUCGGCGCUUAUGGUUAGACCUCUGAUUCAGGAAAUCUCACGGAUUUACAUUCCUAUUUCAGAAGAUUGUUAAAGCAAAAACGAUUGUCAUUUGCAGUUUUGAUACACCUCUAGUUGUCAAUUCAACUUUUUACCUUUAGUUUUCGCUGAACUCUUCCCCUUGCUCCAAGGGGAAGCCUUCAAAAAGUGAAUUAUAUCACCUUUUGCAUGUUAUUGAAUAGAAGUGCACCCUCAACAUCCCGUCUAUCAGCUAUCAAAGCUAUGAUACAUUGUUGCUUUAUCUGGGGUCUCCUACACUGAAAAGAAAAACUGGGGCUUAAUAUAUUUAUUUUUAUUUACUUUAUAUUGCUAAUGUAAACCUCUGCUAGAAGUAAAUAGGCUCUCA